GACGAACCGAGCGAACGUUGUUCGGAAUCACUGGGCUUAAAGGGCGCGUAGGCGGGUGAACAAGUCCGGGGUGAAAUCCUCCAGCUCAACUGGAGAGCUGCCUCGGAUACUGGUUGGCUCGAGGAAGGUAGGGGUGUGUGGAACGUUCAGUGGAGCGGUGAAAUGCAUUGAUAUUGAACGGAACUCCGGUGGCGAAGGCGACACACUGGACCUUUUCUGCCGCUGAGGCGCGCAAGCUAGGGGAGCAAACGGG
rnacentral:rRNA from 1 species